AUUGAACGCUGGCGGCAUGCCUUACACAUGCAAGUCGAACGGUAACGCGGGGCAACCUGGCGACGAGUGGCGAACGGGUGAGUAAUGCAUCGGAACGUGCCCAGUAGUGGGGGAUAGCCCGGCGAAAGCCGGAUUAAUACCGCAUACGACCUAUGGGUGAAAGCGGGGGAUCGCAAGACCUCGCGCUAUUGGAGCGGCCGAUGUCAGAUUAGCUAGUUGGUGGGGUAAAGGCCUACCAAGGCGACGAUCUGUAGCUGGUCUGAGAGGACGACCAGCCACACUGGGACUGAGACACGGCCCAGACUCCUACGGGAGGCAGCAGUGGGGAAUUUUGGACAAUGGGGGCAACCCUGAUCCAGCCAUGCCGCGUGCGGGAAGAAGGCC
rnacentral:rRNA from 1 species